UUCCACCAAUAAGGUGUAUGGUUACAGAAUUCCGUUGAGACCGGGCUACAUCAAUAAGGUGUAGGAAAAAAAUAAAAAUAAAGUGACGGAGAAAAUUUUCUCAGCUGCUCCAUUCUUUCCUCCUUAUUUAUCGUUGGACUUUCUUCACGCUUGAACUGCAAUUUUUGAGGGGAGAGCUGUAAUUGGGGGAGUAAUUGCAUCGUGCUGAACAUACAGCCAGCCAAAAUUCCAGAAAAGAUAGGAAAAUAUCCAAUAAGUGUUGUAUAUUUUGUUGUAAUAUGUAUGUGCAUAAAUGUUAAAUAUUCCUCGAAUAUCGACUCAAAUUUAUUUCACGUUUCAACAGGUACUCUCAACUUUUGGAAAUCAUGGCUAUGCAAAUAUCGGAAGGUGAUGACGACGACCUCUACUACGACGCUGCUUCAGAAGAUGAUUUUGAAGCUGAGGACGAGUCUGACAGCGAUAUUGACGAGGAUGAAACCAUAAACUGGGAUGAAGAAUUUCGUCCACCCGUGCAUAAUUCCAAGGUCCAGAUGAUCAAGUAAAGGAUGAUUUUCGCCACCACUUUGGAACAUCUCUAGACAUUCUCAGAAAAUUCAUUGAUGACUCCAUGGUCGAAAAGAUAGCUGUGGAGUCGAACAGAUACGCUGAGCAAGUGAAGCGAACCUCUCUCCGUGCAUUUAUUGGUUGGACCCCAGUCACUGCUGCUAAUAUCUGGCGCUUUCUAUCUCUUAUUUUGGCCAUGACGCUUGUUAAAAAAUCAUCUUAUAAAGAAUACUGGUCAAUAAUCAAUAAUCCACAACAUUCUCACGAAGUUCCCCAUAGCACGGAAGCCAAGAGGAAGACCUUCCCAAAGCCGUGUCUCAGUACCCUUAGCGAAUAUGCAUAUUCCAGAACGAGUUAUGAAAGAAAACGGUUACCCAAGCAAAUCCGAUUGUUUCCACUGCAAAACAAAAUUGGGGAAGAGGACGAUUACGCAGUUCAAGUGCCUUGCUUGCGAGAAACGUUUGUGCAUUGGUAGCAGCGUCUUCAACUGUUUCAAAUUUUAUCAUGACGAAAUGGUAAGUCGAGAACAUGCUGUUUAUCUUUGCUGAGAAUUUAUGUAGUGUAUUCACAAAUAGUUGCAGUUAUCGCAGCAGCAGGUAUCGCAGCAAGUAGUGCCACUAGCGGAUCGCAACGAGUCACAGAACACUGGACAAAAUUCACCACGUUACGAUUACAAUAACUUGUUUGAAAUAUAUAAUGCAUCCCAAAAUCAUGAUAGUAAUGUCAUCAAUGAUGAUGAUUUACUGUUCGUUUAGUUAAUUGUUGUACUACUAUGAAAAUCAAAUCCCACUGUCAUGUCAAAAAUUUAUAGUGUGUGCCAUUUGGCUCAGUUAUAUUGUUGAUUUAUAAUUGAAAUUUCAUGUUCAAAAAGUGUAUAAUGUUCUAAUUAUUGUUCGCGAAUCAGUUCUUGGUUCGUAAUAAAUCAAAACUGCAUAAGCAGAAUAUUCAAAA